GUGGGGAAUUUUGGACAAUGGGCGAAAGCCUGAUCCAGCAAUGCCGCGUGUGUGAAGAAGGCCUUCGGGUUGUAAAGCACUUUUGGCAGGGAAGAAACAGUGCGUGCUAAUACCAUGCGUGAAUGACGGUACCUGCAGAAUAAGCACCGGCUAACUACGUGCCAGCAGCCGCGGUAAUACGUAGGGUGCAAGCGUUAAUCGGAAUUACUGGGCGUAAAGCGUGCGCAGGCGGCUCUGCAAGACAGAUGUGAAAGCCCCGGGCUCAACCUGGGAACUGUAUUUGUGACUGCAAGGCUAGAGUGCGUCAGAGGGAGGUGGAAUUCCGCGUGUAGCAGUGAAAUGCGUAGAGAUGCGGAGGAACACCGAUGGCGAAGGCAGCCUCCUGGGAUGACACUGACGCUCAUGCACGAAAGCGUGGGGAGCAAACAGGAUUAGAAACCCUUGUAGUCC
rnacentral:rRNA from 1 species